GUUAAAAAAAAAGAACAAAGAACGUGGUCUCCAUCUGCUAGUUCUUCUUCAUUGCCCACAGAUAUAUGAUUUUGUUUGUCAAGUUUGAAUCUCCAAUUCAUUCGACCAAAAAAAAAGAAUCUCCAAUUCUAUGCUUUCAAAUCCAAUAUCGAUUUCUCUUUCUCGUAACUAAAUCAAGUCAUGUUGCCUUCUAAAACAUUGUUUAUGAAAAGAGCUACUUCUGAUUAAAUCAAGUCAUGUUGCAGUUUUAGGGAUUUUUUUAUCAAAUAUUUUCUAAACUUCAGAUGCAGAGAGAAACAAAGGAAAGGGGCUUCAAGAUGUGAAUAUGAAGUUGACGGCAAUGAACAAGCUCUUGAUGGAAGAGAAUGAUAUAGGUUGCAGAAGCAAGUGUCACACCUGGUUCAUGAAAAGAGCUACUUCUGUCAACACACUCCCAACCUAAAGACAUAAGCUGUGAAUCAGUGGUGACUAGUGAACUAGAGCCUACAAGGGUCGCAGAGAUUGUCAAGGAUCGGCUUUCGUGGUUCCGCGAAUGCCGAGCUGUUGAUGUUAUGAAUUUGUUGUAUUCUUACAAGGCAUUAGAGAAGUGAAAUCAAUGCAAUGCAUACAGCUACAGAUGUGUGGUUUUGAAUCUGCGGUUGUUUAGGCGGCUAAUGUUCUUUGAUAUCUGUAGGGGUUUGCAUUCACUGACUAAGCAAUGUCCUACUUUGAAGUUGUUCCAAAGAAUUUGCAAGUUGAGGAAUAUGUAGUGUUAUAUUCUUACGAGGCUUUAGGGAAGUGAAAUCACAUACAUCGACAUAUGUGACGAAGGAGAAGAAGCCGACGGCAUUAACCAUUAACGUAAGUAGACGUUUUCCUUUUUUUUUAGCAAUUUUCUUUUUUAAAAAAUUUUAAUAC